rnacentral:piRNA from 1 species
CCAAGGUGCUCUUCAGCCUGUUAAAUCACAC